rnacentral:rRNA from 1 species
AGCUCCAAUAGCGUAUAUUAAAGUUGCUGCAGUUAAAAAGCUCGUAGUUGCAUUUCCGAGGCAAGGGAUUAGUCCGACCUUUGGUGGGUAUUUAAUCCUCUUGCCUCGUCCUUGAGUGGUGCUUCUUGGUAUUAAGUUAUCGAGGAGAUAGCCGCUCAUCGUUUACUGUGAGAAAAUUAGAGUGUUCAAAGCAGGCUUAUGCCGUUGAAUAUAUUAGCAUGGAAUAAUAAGAUAGGACCUCGGGACUAUUUUGGUGGUUUGAGAACCAAGGUAAUGAUGAAUAGGGACAGUUGGGGGUAUUCGUAUUCAGUUGUCAGAGGUGAAAUUCUUAGAUUUACGGAAGACGAACUACUGCGAAAGCAUUUACCAAGGAUGUUUUCA